CGGUGACUGUGGGUUGGCGAAACGGUGGAGGAGCGGAGUAGUGACGGCGGAGCGGCGAUGUUGAGAGCGGAGAUGGCGGAGGAGCAACGAUGAGAGGGCGACGCCUCUGGUGCGACCGUGAGAAGGCAAGAAUGCGAGGGAGAAGAAGCUACGUAGGGAGGACGUUUGGGGUGAAAGCAUUGUCGAGCGGGUGAAAUUUCACCCGCUCCUUUUUACAUUAAACGGGUGAAAAAUCACCCUGUUUGAUGCUUGUUUUGUCGGGCGGGUGAAAUUUCACCCGCCCGUACAAAUUUCAACCGCUCCAUCGACUUUUUCUCGCCCAUCAAACGGGGCCUAGGUUUGAUAGCUACAGGACACCCGACACCGAACAGGCUGGACACGACGGACGAUUGAACAGGACUAUAAAUUCAAUUUCUGUUUCACGCUAGAACAGACAUGAUAGGACAGCCCCUCCCGCUCCCGAUCCUGAGCCCUCGACCCCGUUUUUCUUUCCUCCCCGGAACUGCCUUUCUCCUCCGACUCUGGUUUUGGACCUAAUCCUCUUCACCUUUUUCCUCGUGCUCAUCAUCUGUGCUCCUCUCCUGAACGGGCAGGCCGCACUUCCUUCCACCCUCUUCCCAGAUCCCCUGCUUCGUAUUGCUUCAGGCCGCACUUCCUUCCACCCUCUUCCCAGAUCCCCUGCUUCGUAUUGCUUCCUGGUACAAAGAUCGGUUCGGCGACUACCUCGUCUCGGAGCAUCCUUCUUCUUCGUGAGGCUGGUCUGGCAUGAGUUGUUCUUCAUCUGGCCCCUUGCCAUCUUCAACGCCUACGCCAUGCUCGCCAUUGCCAUCGCCAACGCCUACGCCAUGCUCGCGAGGAGGUCCUGGUUCAAUACCAUCUGCGAUGAGAUCCUCGCUCCUUACCUCCAUGAGCAAGGAGACAAAACCCAAAUAAGUGAAUAUACUGCAUUGGAAGCCAUGAUGCCAUGAUGGCGGUUGGGAAUAUACUGCAACCUGUGAAUGGUUCUCAAAGCAUCCAAUCAAUCAUGUUAAUGAGCAUGCAGGGUGCCACACUCUUCAAUAAUGAUAUAGAGAGGUAACAAAUUAGCAGUUUAUAUUAGAAUCAUAUUUUCUUGCUUUGCGGGCCAGGCUGAAAAAGGAGAUACCAACUGAGCAAUUCCUUUUGAAUUUUAUUGUUCGAGGAAUGGUGUGUCGAUUGAAGAGAGCAUAUAUGAAAUCACAUACCAUGGAAAGGGAAGAAUGUCGGUGACUACACUGACUGUUUGCUUUUACAGGUUUUUCUCUCUCUAGGGUGUGAUAUUUAAGUAAGGUGUUCCUUUUCAUUGCAGGGAUUUGGUGAGAAAUGCACGCCAAGAGGUCAGUGUACAUUUGGACCUAGGCUGCAAGAUGAUGAAAUCAAACUCCUAGCCAUGUUUGUGAAGUCGCAUGCUGAACAAGGAUGGCCGAACAUUGAAAUUUAUAAAUAUUGAUCUUUGUAGACAAUGGCAUUUCUAUAGAAAGGAGGGCUUCAAUAUUGAAUAAUAUACUAUUUAUACAUGUGCUUGAUAUUGUAAAAAAAAACUACUACCAGAAUCUUAGAUGCACCAUUUCUAGUCCAACAUGGCGAACUGGUUUCAGCUUGCUUGUCAACUUUCUUCGUUAAUGAAAAAACAAGCUGUUUGGGUCUUA